UGGCCACCGACAAAGGUGGUCCCUAAGGAGAUGUCAGCAGAAGCCUUUUUAUGGCUCUUCUCCAUUUCUAGUGGGAGGAUUGACCUGCUAUCAUCCGGUUGUGCACCCAGUAUAGAUCAUGUAUUUCCGGAUGGCAGAGCAGAGGUAUGUGAGGACUUAGCUUGGGGAGGAAGAGAAGCAUAAGGAAGUGAAACCGAUCUGUCUUUCUUUUGUGUCCUUUGUCUUUGUCAGAUGGCAGGAAAUAUCUCUGACUCAAAUGCAUGCAGCUUUCAGAAGCUUGAUUUAGAUCAACUCUGCCCCACAAUGAAACAAAAGAAUUAUACUGGUGUUUUUGAACCCAAGAAUGCUGUGUGUAAAGCAGUCAUUAACAGCACCUUGAUUGGAGGCUGACUGACUUCAGGAGAGAGGAAGAUGAGGAGAGUUUCAGAGGUGAAAAUGGAGAAAAGAAGGACGGCGAAUGAGAGUGCUGUUUCAGCAGGGUACCAUCCUGUUCCUCAACCUGGUCCUGUCUUUCCUUCCAAGGUGUCCUCUGGCUGUGCUGGCCUCUUUGAAGGCUCCUCUGCCAUAAUGGAAUCACUCCAUACACUUCUUGGACGGAGCACGGAGACGCAGAAAUUCAGCACUGAUAAAGAUCCCUCUGACUCUCAUUUCAUAAGUCUUCCAUUAGAUACAAAGCUGCACAGAUUAGAUAUGUCACUCCUCCCCUAUCCCUGGAACACAAAAGUCCUCGCAAAAUUGAGAAAAAAAAAAGAUUUAAUUUAAAUGCUAUUCAAGUGUGGGUGAACAAAAAGGGGAAGAAUGCUUUCCCUUUUUUUUCCCUAAAAGUCAAGUUUUUCUUUAGAAAUCAGCAAACACACACAAAAAAGGAAAGUCAUAGGUCACCCACAAUUAAAGUUUAGUUCUCGUCUUUUUUAAGAAUGUUUUGUUUUAAGAUUUUGUUCCAUUAUCUAAAAAACACUUUAUAAUAGCCCCUAAUCACAAAAAUGUUUAUGACUUUUUCUCUGUGUUUUGAGUUUUUUUUAAUUGUUUGUGAUUGAAAUAGUGUCACUUGCAUGUAUGUGCCCUCUUGCUUUGCGCUUCCUCCUUCCUGUCUCUUUGAAUUUGCUAAAAUCUACUUUGCUCCAGAUGUUUCUUCUGCUUUUUUCCCCCCAGCAUUUUCGUCUUUUUAAUAUUCAAUUUGAUCAAAGUUUUAGAAUCUAAAACCCAAACCUGUGUGUCUGCUGUCAUUGUAUACUGUGGUUAAAAAAAAAUAACAUUCAGUUUUAGAACAGCAUGUGACUGCAACGUCAUUGCAACAAGCACAUUGGUUAAGUUUGGAGCUGUAUUUAUAGUUUGACCCAAAAAAAUAAAACCUGGUAAAACAAAUUCCCUUACAGCAG
ensembl:lncRNA